AAUAUAAGUUAUUAUUUUUGCUUCAAAACGUGCAAAAUGGGGGAUAUUGAAGCAAAAAAUUAUUCUGUUGCCCAGCCGUAUCAGUUGGAAGAAUAACCACCACAAAUUAUAAAGAACACUGAGCAAACCAUGAAUGGCAUUUCGUGUGAGGUUGUAAAGCCAGCAAGAGUCAUCACCAACAAAAACGUCGAGGACAGGUUCAGGUGCAUCAAAACCAUUCUCAUUCCACUGGAGAUCAUCUGACCGAGGCGGGGUUUGGGGUGGAGGCAGUUUCAGUCGAUUUUAAAUCAAAGCCUCAAAUAUUGAACUGCUUCGACAGACUCCACCAUCACUUAUUCUACCUUGGCACGCCACUUCAACAUUUGUAAACUUGUAAUCAUAAUCUACUAGGGCUGAUAUGAAAACGCUAAACCAUCCCUUGUACUAGUGAAAUGUGGACCCACUGCAGUGGGGAUGGACUUUUUACGUGUUUUCGAUGCAUUGCACCAAAGCAAUUAGAAAACUGCCAAUGUCGUUGGAAUUGGUUCGAAAUGCGCUCAAUUUUUUCUCACUUUGAGGCAUACAAAGAACUUCACUUUCAAUUUGGUUAUAAAUUUCAUCACACACCUUAGGAAUCAAUGCAGAAACUGUUGACUUGCCAACAUGCGUAACUGAUAACUAAGGCUUGAGUAGCUUUUUUUCAGUUACAAGAAACCUCAAUGAGAUGGAAAGUCGUUCUUCAUGUUUCUUUGGUUCUCUCAUGUUUGUUGAUUUUCUUUGCAGAACACGUUUUAAUUUUUCAAGAAGUUCCUAAAAAGCAUGAAAAACGAGUCAUCUAAAUUACAUAGCCCAUCUACUAUAACUAUCUGCUGUCGCUUUUAACGGUGGGAGUGGGUUAUUAGUGUCUUUUAUUUGGUUAAAUGACAUCAGGCUACAAGAUACUUUUACUUUGAUCUUUCAAAAAUGAUACAUUAUAGUAUGUGUUAAUAAAUGUUAUUGAUACUUACAAGUAAAAUAUAAAUACCUGCAAUUUAAAGCUACAAAAAUAGCUUUUAACUUGUCAUGGCUUAUACUUCAAA